rnacentral:rRNA from 1 species
AACGCACAGCGAAAGGUGCUUGCACCUUUCAAGUGAGUGGCGAACGGGUGAGUAACACGUGGACAACCUACCUCAAGGCUGGGGAUAACAUUUGGAAACAGAUGCUAAUACCGAAUAAAACUUAGUGUCGCAUGACACAAAGUUAAAAGGCGCUUCGGCGUCACCUAGAGAUGGAUCCGCGGUGCAUUAGUUAGUUGGUGGGGUAAAGGCCUACCAAGACAAUGAUGCAUAGCCGAGUUGAGAGACUGAUCGGCCACAUUGGGACUGAGACACGGCCCAAACUCCUACGGGAGGCUGCAGUAGGGAAUCUUCCACAAUGGGCGAAAGCCUGAUGGAGCAACGCCGCGUGUGUGAUGAAGGCUUUCGGGUCGUAAAGCACUGUUGUAUGGGAAGAACAGCUAGAAUAGGAAAUGAUUUUAGUUUGACGGUACCAUACCAGAAAGGGACGGCUAAAUACGUGCCAGCAGCCGCGGUAAUACGUAUGUCCCGAGCGUUAUCCGGAUUUAUUGGGCGUAAAGCGAGCGCAGACGGUUUAUUAAGUCUGAUGUGAAAGCCCGGAGCUCAACUCCGGAAUGGCAUUGGAAACUGGUUAACUUGAGUGCAGUAGAGGUAAGUGGAACUCCAUGUGUAGCGGUGGAAUGCGUAGAUAUAUGGAAGAACACCAGUGGCGAANGCGGCUUACUGGACUGCAACUGACGUUGANGCUCGAAAGUGUGGGUAGCAAACAGGAUUAGAUACCCUGGUAGUCCACACCGUAAACGAUGAACACUANGUGUUANGAGGUUUCCGCCUCUUANUGCCGAAGCUAACGCAUUAAGUGUUCCGCCUGGGGAGUACGACCNCAAGGNUGAACUCNAGNAAAUU